rnacentral:pre_miRNA from 1 species
UAUUGUUCUAUUGGGUGAGUAGCUCCUUGCUGGAGAAGCAGGGCACGUGCAAACACCACUUUGGCUCCUUUCGGUUUCAGAAUUGCCACUAAAUCCUUUGCACGCGCUCCCCUUCUCCAACAUGGGUUCCUCACCUUUCCUGAUCUCUCAC